rnacentral:misc_RNA from 1 species
AAGUCGUAACAAGGUUUCCGUAGGUGAACCUGCGGAAGGAUCAUUACUGAGUUAGGGUCUCUAUGGCCCGAUCUCCAACCCUUUGUCUAAUUACCUAUGUUGCUUCGGCGGGCCUGUCUUGUUGAUUCAGGACUGCCGGGGGUCUUCAAACCACUCCUGGCUCGCGCCCGUCGGUGGCCAAAAUCUAAACUCUUGAUGAAUUGUGUCGUCUGAGUCUUAAUUAAAUUAAAACAAA